GUUCCUAUUUCUGAAAACACAACAAGAGAACAAGGGUAAACCAAUCAAAGUGAUCUCAAGCCGGACCUGACUUAUGAUGUCCACAGAUGCUGGUCUGUCACAGAGGAUGAUAGUGGUCUUCUUAACCAACAAGACACAAACAAGAUGGCAGUGAAGGAGGUCAUCCCACUUCCAAUCAAUGGUGAUAUUUCUUGUCCUGUUCAUCUUUUCUAUGACCAAACAAACACCGCUGAUCAUAAAAAGCAAUGAAGUCUGCAAGCCCAUCUUGCUAGCGAGCAGAAUAACGAAGCUGCUGUGCACAUAAGGACUAACGCGGGAGCAGGCCCUUGCUCCGCACCAUAGUUUACUGUAGCUACAUUGGGAAGUGGCCUUCGGAAGCGUUGCACAAGAAUGCAGAAACACGUAUGAAUCACUCUUCAGAGUUAUGUGAUCCAAUUGGCAGCUGCCUUUCAGAUGAGAAGGAAAAUGCUGAGGGGGAUGAUAAAGAAGAUCAU